UCAAUGCCAUGCAGAAAAUCAGUUUAAGCUGCUGAAGUUACAUACGCUGUUCUUAGUCCAGCUUCUAGUAAGAACCAUUUGAAUUUUCACAUCUGAGAUGCAAUUGACCAGCCAAGUUCUCAGUAACAUGAUUGCCAUCGUAACACAUGGCUGGAACUAGAAAAAUUAGUGGCAAAAGAACCAGCCAAGGAAUUAGAGAGUGGGAAGUGAGACCCAAAUUUGGCUUCUUGUAGAUAACUCUUUUCUCGUUUUCCAGGUGUGGAACCGGUCAGAUAAAGUUCAAGAUAGGUUGCUCCUUUUUGGGGUUUAUGAAGGCAAAUAAAGGCACCCAAUAAAAGCACCAUUCUUUCAAGCUUAGAUAAACCCACUGAAACAAAUAUAACUUGGGUAGUUCUUCUGUACUGUUAUCCUAUUUUCUGUUCUACGUUUAGCUUGAGUUUAAUUUAAAUUUUAGUUCUAUAAGAUAAAAAUUAAACAUGAUAUAAUAAUACGAUCAUCAUCUUUUAAUGGAAA